GUUUAGUUCCGCCCUGGUUACGCCUCUUGCAGGCGGCCAGCGGAGCGGCACUGAGACUCUUGGAGAGCGUUUCCAAGUGAUGGAAGGCACUGUGCACAAGUGGCCCUUCCCCUUUCCCUCUCCCUGCCCCGGGAUUUCAGAAGAAACCCGUAGGCAGAAAUUGGCCAGAGCUAGGCAAAAGUUGUGAGAGUUUCAAGAAAGAAACACUCUUUUGGGUCCUUCUCUGGAUGAGAAGAAAAGCAUAAAUCCUGGGAUAUCCACUGGUGGCAAAUGUCACCCACCUGACGAGAGCCAGGAUGCCACCAGUGGCCCCAAGGUCCUGGCUCAGAACAAGUGAGUGUCUCCUACUGGGGCAGCUGUCCCUAGGCUGAGGGGUCAGGGCCGGCCACUGCCCCGAGCCUCUUCCCCAUCCAGCUACCUUUACCCUGACCCU